rnacentral:rRNA from 1 species
CGUGUAGGUGGUUUGGUAAGUAGGGCGUGAAAGCUCCUGGCUCAACUGGGAGAGGACGUUCUAAACUGCCAAGCUUGAGGAUGGUAGAGGGAGGUGGAAUUCCGGGUGUAGCGGUGGAAUGCGCAGAUAUCCGGAGGAACACCAGUGGCGAAGGCGGCCUCCUGGACCACUCCUGACACUCAGACGCGAAAGCUAGGGUAGGCAAACG